AGUUUGAUCAUGGCUCAGAUUGAACGCUGGCGGCAGGCCUAACACAUGCAAGUCGAACGGUAACUGGAAGCAGCUUGCUGCUUCGCUGACGAGUGGCGGACGGGUGAGUAAUGUCUGGGAAACUGCCUGAUGGAGGGGGAUAACUACUGGAAACGGUAGCUAAUACCGCAUAACGUCGCAAGACCAAAGAGGGGGACCUUCGGGCCUCUUGCCAUCGGAUGUGCCCAGAUGGGAUUAGCUAGUAGGUGGGGUAACGGCUCACCUAGGCGACAAUCCCUAGCUGGUCUGAGAGGAUGACCAGCCACACUGGAACUGAGACACGGUCCAGACUCCUACGGGAGGCAGCAGUGGGGAAUAUCGCACAAUGGGCGCAAGCUGAUGCAGCCAUGCCGCGUGUGAAGAAGGCCAUCGGGAUGUAAAGUACUUUCAGCGGGGAGGAAGGCGAUAAGGUUAAUAACCUUGU
rnacentral:rRNA from 1 species